AAAAUGAAUGGCAAUUUGCAAGCAAAAGAAAACCAGAUUCACAUUCUACUAUUUACAUUCGUUCUAUUCACAGGUCAAAAAUAAAAUAUUUCAUUAGAUAAUUUAAAAAAAAAAAAACUUUUUUUAAAACAAAUGUAUUUUACUCCAUCAAUACUGCAAGGAAGAUAACUGAAUUUAGAAAUGCUCUCUCUCUACAGCAAAGUUAACUUAACUUUUCGGGGCCCAACUGGCCUAUCAUUUAGAUCUUUAAUAGCAGCCAUAGCUUCAUUAUAGUUUAUCAUAGCAACAAUGGCUUCCCCUGUAGGUAAGCCUUGCUCAUUAUACUGUAUUGAAACUGAAUCAGGUAUGAUUCUGUAACCAUGGAAAAAGUCUAAAAUUUCAUUAACAUUAGCUUUAAAUGGAAGAUUCAUUAUCUUAAUAGGAGUUACUCUACCUGAACCACAAUUUAUCUUUGGAUCAGGCAUAAAUCUCCCCUCAGGAAAACUUCCCAUAUUAUGCUUUCCAAAAUCAAACUUGCCACCUUCUGGGCGACCAAAAUUCACAAAAGGGCGGUGACUUCUAAAAUCAUCAGAAGGGCAUCUAAAAUCUUCCUCCUGGGGGCUCCUGAAGUCCUCAUCAGGAGGGUGCCUAAAGUCUUCAUCGGGAGGGCCCCUGAAGUCUUCAUCUGGUGGGUGCCUGAAAUCUUCCUCUCGGGAGCG
rnacentral:antisense_RNA from 1 species